AUAGCUUUAGGGCUAGCCUCGAGGUAAAGAGUCAUGGAGGUAGAGCACUGUUUGGACUAGGGGCCCUUCUCGGGUUACCGAAUUCAGAUAAACUCCGAAUGCCAUGUACUUAUACUCGGGAGUCAGACUGCGAGUGAUAAGAUCCGUAGUCGAAAGGGAAACAGCCCAGACCACCAGUUAAGGUCCCCAAAUAUAUGUUAAGUGGAAAAGGAUGUGGGGUUGCUUAGACAACCAGGAUGUUGGCUUAGAAGCAGCCACCAUUGAAAGAGUGCGUAAUAGCUCACUGGUCGAGUGACCCCGCGCCGAAAAUGUACCGGGGCUAAACAUAUUACCGAAACUGUGGAUGAACCUCUUUAGAGGUUCGUGGUAGGAGAGCGUUCUAAGGGCGGUGAAGUCAGACCGGAAGGACUGGUGGAGCGCUUAGAAGUGAGAAUGCCGGUAUGAGUAGCGAAAGAAGGGUGAGAAUCCCUUCCACCGAAUAUCUAAGGUUUCCUGAGGAAGGCUCGUCCGCUCAGGGUUAGUCGGGACCUAAGCCGAGGCCGAUAGGCGUAGGCGAUGGACAACAGGUAGAGAUUCCUGUACCAGUGCUAAUUGUUUAACCGAUG
rnacentral:rRNA from 1 species